GAUGAACGCUGGCGGCGUGCCUAAUACAUGCAAGUCGAGCGAACAGACGAGGAGCUUGCUCCUCUGACGUUAGCGGCGGACGGGUGAGUAACACGUGGAUAACCUACCUAUAAGACUGGGAUAACUUCGGGAAACCGGAGCUAAUACCGGAUAAUAUAUUGAACCGCAUGGUUCAAUAGUGAAAGACGGUUUUGCUGUCACUUCUAGAUGGAUCCGCGCCGCCUAAGCUAGUUGGUAAGGUAACGGCUUACCAAGGCAACGAUGCGUAGCCGACCUGAGAGGGUGACCAGCCACACUGGACCUGCGACACGGUCCCGACUACGACGGGAGGCAGCAGUAGGGAAACUUCCGAAAUGGGCGAAAGCCUGACGUAGCAACGCCGCGUGAGUGAUGAAGGUCUUGGGAUCGGAAAACUCUGUUAGUAGGGAAGAACAAAUGUGUAAGUAACUAUGCACGUCUUGACGGUACCUAAUCAGAAAGCCACGGCUAACUACGUG
rnacentral:rRNA from 1 species